UACGUAGGGGGCAAGCGUUGUCCGGAACCAUUGGGCGUAAAGCGCGCGUAGGCGGCCCGGUAAGUCCGUUGUGAAAGUCAAAGGCUCAACCUUUGAACGCCGAUGGAUACUGCCGGGCUAGAGUCCGGAAGAGGCGAGUGGAAUUCCUGGUGUAGCGGUGGAAUGCGCAGAUAUCAGGAGGAACACCAAUAGCGAAGGCAGCUCGCUGGGACGGUACUGACGCUGAGGCGCGAAAGCGUGGGGAGCGAACAGG
rnacentral:rRNA from 1 species